rnacentral:sRNA from 1 species
GUUUCAUCAUCACUUGCAG